UACGUAGGCAGCGAGCGUUGUUCGGAGUUACUGGGCGUAAAGGGUGCGUAGGCGGUUGUUUAAGUUUGGUGUGAAAUCUCCCGGCUCAACUGGGAGGGUGCGCCGAAUACUGAAUGACUAGAGUGCGGGAGAGGAUAGUGGAAUUCCUGGUGUAGCGGUGAAAUGCGUAGAUAUCAGGAGGAACACCGGUGGUGUAGACGGCUCUCUGGACCGUAACUGACGCUGAGACACGAAAGCGUGGGUAGCAAACAGG
rnacentral:rRNA from 1 species